GACGAACGCUGGCGGCGUGCUUAACACAUGCAAGUCGAACGGAAAGGCCCUGCUUUUGUGGGGUGCUCGAGUGGCGAACGGGUGAGUAACACGUGAGUAACCUGCCCUUGACUUUGGGAUAACUUCAGGAAACUGGGGCUAAUACCGGAUAGGAGCUCCUGCUGCAUGGUGGGGGGUGGAAAGUUUCGGCGGUUGGGGAUGGACUCGCGGCUUAUCAGCUUGUUGGUGGGGUAGUGGCUUACCAAGGCUUUGACGGGUAGCCGGCCUGAGAGGGUGACCGGUCACAUUGGGACUGAGAUACGGCCCAGACUCCUACGGGAGGCAGCAGUGGGGAAUAUUGCACAAUGGGCGGAAGCCUGAUGCAGCAACGCCGCGUGCGGGAUGACGGCCUUCGGGUUGUAAACCGCUUUCGCCUGUGACGAAGCGUGAGUGACGGUAAUGGGUAAAGAAGCACCGGCUAACUACGUG
rnacentral:rRNA from 1 species